AUUGAGCGCUGGCGGAAUGCUUUACACAUGCAAGUCGAACGGCAGCACGGACUUCGGUCUGGUGGCGAGUGGCGAACGGGUGAGUAAUGUAUCGGAACGUGCCCAGUCGUGGGGGAUAACGUAGUGAAAAUUACGCUAAUACCGCAUACGAUCUAUGGAUGAAAGCGGGGGAUCGCAAGAACUCGCGCGAUUGGAGCGGCCGAUAUCAGAUUAGGUAGUUGGUGGGGUAAAGGCCCACCAAGCCAACGAUCUGUAGCUGGUCUGAGAGGACGACCAGCCACACUGGAACUGAGACACGGUCCAGACUCCUACGGGAGGCAGCAGUGGGGAAUUUUGGACAAUGGGCGAAAGCCUGAUCCAGCCAUUCCGCGUGCAGGAUGAAGGCCCUCGGGUUGUAAACUGCUUUUGUACAGAACGAAAAGGUUUCUACUAAUACUAGGAGCUCAUGACGGCACUGUAAGAAUAAGCACCGGCUAACUACGUGCCAGCAGCCGCCGUAA
rnacentral:rRNA from 1 species